rnacentral:rRNA from 1 species
CAGUCGCCACGGGAAUACGUAGGGUGCGAGCGUUAAUCGGAAUUACUGGGCGUAAAGCGUGCGCAGGCGGUUCGUUAAGACAGAUGUGAAAUCCCCGGGCUUAACCUGGGAACUGCAUUUGUGACUGGCGAGCUAGAGUAUGGCAGAGGGGGGUAGGAUUCCACGUGUAGCAGUGAAAUGCGUAGAGAUGUGGAGGAAUACCGAUGGCGAAGGCAGCCCCCUGGGCCAAUACUGACGCUCAUGCACGAAAGCGUGGGGAGCAAACAGGAUUAGAUACCCCUGUAGUCCCUGUCUCUUAUAC